AACGAACGCUGGCGGCAGGCUUAACACAUGCAAGUCGAACGCCCCGCAAGGGGAGUGGCAGACGGGUGAGUAACACGUGGGAACAUGCCCAAAGGUACGGAAUAUUCUCGGGAAACUGGGAGCAAUACCGUAUGUGCCCGAAAGGGGAAAGAUUUAUCGCCUUUGGAUUGGCCCGCGUUGGAUUAGCUAGUUGGUGGGGUAAAAGCCUACCAAGGCGACGAUCCAUAGCUGGUCUGAGAGGACGACCAGCCACACUGGGACUGAGACACGGCCCAGACUCCUACGGGAGGCAGCAGUGGGGAAUCUUGGACAAUGGGCGCAAGCCUGAUCCAGCCAUGCCGCGUGAGUGAUGAAGGCCCUAGGGUUGUAAAACUCUUUCGUGGGGGACGAUAAUGACGGUACCCCAAGAAGAAGCACCGGCUAACUUCGUGCCAGCAGCCGCCGUAAUAC
rnacentral:rRNA from 1 species